GCCCGGUUAGCUCAAUCGGUAGAGCGUGAGACUCUUAAUCUCAAGGUUGCGGGUAAGUCAAUGCUCAACAUCUGAGAUUCAUUUACCAUUGUUGCUAACAUCACCUCAAAGGUUCGACCCCCGCAUCGGGCU